ensembl:lncRNA
AACCUCGUGUCUGAGAGGUCUCGAUCCUUCUGUUUGCAGGUCCUGACACUUGACAACCCCCUCUCCUCAUGCCUCCCUCUCUGUCAUUGCAGCCUCAGAGACUCACAGCUUCAGAGAUAGGAGAGUUUUUGUGGGAAUCCAGGCCCAGAGAGGAGCAGCGGCUUACUUGAGGGAAUACAGCCAGGACUCAGCCCAGAAUCACCUACUCCAGGAAGCCUUACUGGAUUGCCUUUCCCUUUGCUCCAGCUCCCCAUCCCCAGCUUUAUUGAGAGAGAAUUCACGCACCAUACAAUUCAGCCAUUUAAACGAUUUUUAGUGUAUUCACAGACAUUUCUAUGAAUGAGAUCAAAGAAUAUGCGGACUUUUGUGACUGGCUUCUUUCACUUAGAAUAACAUUUUCAAGGUUCAUCUAUGUUGUGCCACCCGAGCAGGUGUGGAGUGGGGAGCUUCACACCUUUUCAUUGCCAGGCAGCAAGGCGUGGUGACGGAGCCCUGAAGACAGACCCAGGGCUGGAAGCCCAACUCUUCACUUCUGUUGGGUCUUUCUGCCUCGCUGAGCCUCAUCAUUCUCUUCUGUGGAAUGGAACCACAGCACGUGGAUGAGAGACAGUGAAUGUAAGGUGUUUAGCAUAGUUGCUGGCAUACAACACAUGCUCAAUAAAUGUGAACUAUAAUAACAGCUACAGUGCUCACUCCAAAAACCUUGCACAGUUUCUGGCACACCGUAGGCCCUCGUGGGUGUGGGUGGAGUAACUGAUGGCAAGUGUGCCCCGGGAAGGGCGCCAGCUGAGGGCCUGGGCAGGCCUGGAGGGGGCCCUGGGAGGAGCUCACAGCCUCUGGCUCAGGGGCCCCUUGGCCAGAGCCCUGUCCAGCCCAGCUCUUGUCUGGCAUGGGGAGCAGUUUUAUUUCUACAGGCGUUUUGCGACUCAGCACAUGUAAGCUUCCUCCUGAUGGUUUGAAUUAGAAAGCAGCUGAUGCCUUCUGGAAAACCCAGGGAAAAACAUUAUUGUUGGAGGCCAGUCUCCUCAUUGGCAGAGCCGACUGCACUGGUCUGGCAUUCCGGAGCACAAAAGCCUUCGCCGGCAAAAUCGGAGCCUUCCCAUCGGGGCUCCCCUCCUCUCCGCCCUCCCUCUCAUCCAGCCCUGGCUGGGCCUGGCAAGUGCUGGCUGCCGGAUGGGAGUCAGGACAAGAAUCCUCUGGCUGUCUAGGCCCGUCCACUCCAGCAGCAAGUUGGUGGACGAGGUCUGACUCAACUCCCAGCCUGGCAAAUGUCUGGGGUCUGGCGUGCAGACGAAGGUGGUACCCACUGCAGGGAACAGGGCCAGGAGGAAGGUGGCAACAGGCUGGCUAGACACGGAGAUCGGAAAAGGAGAGAGUGUUACUGCUCUUAUUGGACGAAUGAGGAAACUGAGGCUCAGAGAGGUGAUGUCAGCUGCCCACGGUCACAGAGCCAGCAAGUGGUAGCCUGAGGACUAGACCCCAGGCCUGCUCUGAGGCCCACCUUGCCUUUUUGCACUGAGAAUGGGGGUAAAAGCACUUUGUGAACCAAAAGGCAUGGUAUACCUGGGAGGGUUUUAAAUACCAUUCCUAUUGCUGUUUUCCUGGGGAGGUGGUCAGAAGCUGGCAUGGCCUCCCCUCCAGCCGGCCAUCGGCCUUGCUGCAGCUUCUGCUUGGUCACCAACAGUUCGAGCCACAUGACCAGGGCUGCCUUAUCUCCUCGAGGGUGGCAGGCCCCUGUUCCCAGAAGCCCGGCUUCAGAUGGGCAGCAGCGAUUGUAGAGAUCUGCAGGGCCCCGAUAAAGCCGCUGCAGCAGGGGACAGACGGAUGGAAGUUCCCCUCAUGCCACUUCCUUCAGUGGCUGGUAUGGCCCCAGCUCCUUAAGCUCUUCCACUUCCUCACAAGGAUAGGGGCCCGGAGUGGCCAACAGAGCUCAGUGGGGUUCAGUCCCCAGUAACCCGCCCCCAUUCCUGGCAUCCCCCCUUCACGGCCCUGGGUCUAGGACCCUGGCCAUGAGGGUGCUCUUGUCUCCACCCCAGGGAGUGUUGGGACGAGCAGACGAGGUGACACUCGAUGUGCACGCGAGAGGCUGACGCUCUUUAUCCAUCUCCCCAGUCCGUGUGCCUUAGCCAUGUUGUCCCUCUUCUUUUCUGUGAUCUUUCCAAACCCUGCCCCUCCUAUAAGGGUGAGUCUGAAUGUCACCUUCUCCCCAAAGCUGUCCUGGACCUCCUCUGGCCUGUCACCUCCUGUGCUUCCUCUCGCAGCAUUGGAAUCGGCCCCUUCAGAGAAUAAAAGGACGGGAAGGAUGGCUAUCCACGUGCUGAGCCACAAAUGACUUUGACACUUUUCCCCUGCUGUGUAUGUGUUUGCGUCCCAUCUUUUCUGCACUGUGCAUAAUUUCCUUGUAUAAUUAGAAAAGAAUUCCAAAUAAAUGCUAUUGUCGAGAAGGAUCUGCUCCACUUGGUGGAACGCUUCAUUGAAACCAUGAGCCUUGCGUCUGUCAGUGCUGCGUUGACCGUGGUGGUCCAGGCAGUGGGUCUUACACCUGAUGCCCUGUGCACACCCACUCACCAUGGGACACGGAGCAGCAAUUCAUUCCCUUCGGGUGUGACUCUCACGAACUCACCAGCCUCACCUUUGUCCGCUCCAGCCCCGGGGACAUCCACCACUAUCUGUUGGAGGUGUCCCCGGAGUCCUCACCCACUCUCCCAUUUCCAAGGUCCAAGAUGCUGUCACAGUGCAGCUCAAAUUCCAUCUCCUCUGGGCUUCCUGGCCAUGCCUGCCCUGAGCCCGGCUCCUUCUUGGCCUCAGGUUGCUGAUUAACUGCCUCCCCCGCUAGACCGUAAGUUCCUUAGGAACAGGGGACACAUCCCACACCUCCCCGCCUCCCAGCGCCUGGCAUGGAGCCCGGCACACAGCAGAGCAGGUGCUCAGGAAGAAGUCGAGUGCAGGAACCCUAAGAGUGAUGAUCACGGUUAUGAUGAUGGCAGCCACUGUUUCCCGGACACUGACCUUGAACCUCCACCGCUCAGCUCGUUACCUGGAUUAUGUCAUGUAACCCCCAGCAACCUAGAGACUCAGGUGCUGAUAAGUGCAUCUUACAGAGGAGAAAAGGCAACCGUGAAAGGAAGGCCUGGACAUCAGACUGUGUGCUGGGGGCGGGAUGCUGGGGUGGCGAACCACCUCCUCCUGCCUUAGUUUCCUCUGCUGUACAGGGGCCUGACACCUGUGCUCCUUUCCUCCCUCCAGGGGGCUGUCGGGGUCGAACAGGACAGCGAGCACGUCAUCGAGUGCAAACAGCUGCAUAAAUGCAUGGCGUGGUGGA